rnacentral:rRNA from 1 species
AGAAUGAACGCUGGCGGCAUGCCUAACACAUGCAAGUCGAACGAGGUAUCGUCUUCGGAUGGUGUCUAGUGGCGCACGGGUGCGUAACGCGUGGGAAUCUGCCCCUUGGUUCGGAGUAACAGCGAGAAAUUGCUGCUAAUACCGGAUAAUGACGUAAGUCCAAAGAUUUAUCGCCUAGGGAUGAGCCCGCGUAGGAUUAGCUAGUUGGUGUGGUAAAGGCGCACCAAGGCGACGAUCCUUAGCUGGUCUGAGAGGAUGAUCAGCCACACUGGGACUGAGACACGGCCCAGACUCCUACGGGAGGCAGCAGUGGGGAAUAUUGGACAAUGGGCGAAAGCCUGAUCCAGCAAUGCCGCGUGAGUGAUGAAGGCCUUAGGGUUGUAAAGCUCUUUUACCCGGGAUGGAUAAUGACAGUACCGGGAGAAUAAGCUCCGGCUAACUCCGUGCCAGCAGCCGC